rnacentral:rRNA from 1 species
UAUCUAGACGGCAAGUGUUAUCCGGAAUUAUUGGGCAUAAAACGCGCGCAGGUGGUUUCUUAAGUCUGAUGUGAAAGCCCACGGCUCAACCGUGGAGGGUCAUUGGAAACUGGGAGACUUGAGUGCAGAAGAGGAAAGUGGAAUUCCAUGUGUAGCGGUGAAAUGCGUAGAGAUAUGGAGGAACACCAGUGGCGAAGGAGUCUUUCUGGUCUGUAAUUGACACUGAGGUGCGAAAGCGUGGGGAGCAAACAGG